UUCAAUAGGAUGUAACUCGCCUUCAUGC
rnacentral:sRNA from 1 species